GAUGAACGCUGGCGGCGUGCCUAAUACAUGCAAGUCGAGCGAACGGACGAGAAGCUUGCGUCUUUGAUGUUAGCGGCGGACGGGUGAGUAACACGUGGAUAACCUACCUAUUAUUCUGGGAUAAUUUCGGGAAACCGGAGCUACUACCGGAUAAUACUUUGUACGGCAUGGUUCAAAAGUGAAUGACGGUUUUCGUGUCUCUUAUAGCUGGUUCCGCGCUGCAUUAGCUAGUUGGUAAGGUAACGGCCUACCAAGGCAACGAUGCAUAGCCGACCUGAGAGGGUGAUCGGCCACACUGGAACUGAGACACGGUCCAGACUCCUACGGGAGGCAGCAGUAGGGAAUCUUCCGCAAAGGGCGAAAGCCUGACGCAGCAACGCCGCGUGAGUGAUGAAGGUCUUCGGAUCGUAAAACUCUGUUGUUGGGGAAGAACAUCUGUGUGAGUAACUGUGGACAUCGUGACGGUACCUAAAGAAUAAGCCCCGGCUAACUACGUG
rnacentral:rRNA from 1 species